rfam:Stegodyphus mimosarum contig172955, whole genome shotgun sequence.
GCCUUCGUGGUGUAGUGGUCAGCACACUCGGCUUAUAUUCGAGAGGUCCGUGGUUCGAGUCCCGGCGAGGGCA